AUGGGGUGCAGCAGGCGAGAAAACUUUGCAAUGUGCGAAAGCACGACAAGGUUAAUCCGAGUGUUUUCUGCUAAAGAAAUCUUUUGUUAGUUCUAAAAACACUAGCGAAUAAGGGGUGGGCAAGUUCUGGUGUCAGCCGCCGCGGUAAAACCAGCACCUCAAGUGGUCAGGAGGAUUAUUGGGCCUAAAGCAUCCGUAGCCGGCUAUGUUAGUUUUCGGUUAAAUCCAUGUGCUCAACACAUGGGCCGUCGAGAAUACUGCAUAGCUAGGGAGUGGGAGAGGUAGACGGUACUCGGUAGGAAGGGGUAAAAUCCUUUGAUCUAUCGAUGACCACCAGUGGCGAAGGCGGUCUACCAGAACACGUCCGACGGUGAGGGAUGAAAGCUGGGGGAGCAAACCGGAUUAGAUACCCGGGUAGUCCCAGCUGUAAACUAUGCAAACUCAGUGAUGCAUUGGCUUGUGGCCAGUGCAGUGCCGCAGAGAAGUCGUUAAGUUUGCCGCCUGGGAAGUACGUACGCAAGUAUGAAACUUAAAGGAAUUGGCGGGGGAGCAC
rnacentral:rRNA from 1 species